UGUGUGUGUGUACUUGUAACAUAAAAUUCAUACUUUUAACUAGUUAGAUAUGUAAAAAAAUGCAUAUUGAAAAGAAAAGAAAAACAUUAUUUACAUUAUGUCUAUAUGUAAGAUAAAAAAAAUUGAAAAUUGUGUGUACCUGCAUUUUCAGGUUAAGUAAAAGAUAAAAGUGAGACUGUAAAAUUAAAACUCAUAGUAUAAGCAAUAAUACAAAUAAUAAUAAGAGAUGGUAAUAUAAAAAAAAAAGAAGAAAUUGUGCAUGCUUACAUUUCUAACUUAAGUACAAGACAAAAGUUGAUACUAUAAAAUUGAAAUUCAAAGCAUAAGUAACAAUACUAAUAAUAAUAAUAAUAAAAGUUGUUGAAUCAUAAAAUAGAACAUGCAAAUUCUAGAAGUUCAAACUUUAAUAAUUAUACAUCAUGCCAUAUUGAUAUAUUUCAAAAGCAUUUAUAAUACUAACAAUAAUCAACAUAGAGAAGCAAAUUGAGUCAUCGUCGUCACCUCUUGGCUUUAUAAUACUAACAAUAAUACAUUGUGGCCUCGUAGCCUCUUGGCUUCGGGGCAGCUUCCUCUUUGAAGUCGCCUCACCUUGGCCUGGGGAGUCGCAGCAUGCUCGGCUCGGCUCACCUCGCCUGGCCUCUCGACUCGCCUGGCGCCUCUUCUCGCCUUUUACAACACUGAUGCAGAUAAGGAAAAAAAUAGAACGUAUUAUGAUUUAAUUAGUAAUUAUGAAAUUCAGAUUUUUAUUUAUGUUUUUUCCCUAUUCAAGAAUAUUAUGUAGCUUCCUAUUCAAGAAGUAUAGGACUUAUUAUUUAGGAAUUACCUUAUUUGGAAAGGUAGUUGCUUAAUUGGUAGUAUUGGUUUAGUAUUUUCCUCAUUUGGCAUUACUAAUCCUAAUAGGAUAUUAAGAUGAGGAAUUGCCUGUAGGUUGUUUAAACAUUUAUCUACUUGGUUGUUUUCUUUGGUUUUUGAUUGAUGCAAUAUUGCAGUAUGAGUUAAUUUUCAGUAUUUGGAGUGCACUUUUGCCUUGUGCUUCCCCUCUUUUCCUUGUCUCCUUCUUCCUAUUCAAUUAUUUUCUUUCUUUCAAAUUCAAAGGCUGCCUGUUACUAUAAUCUGAGUGACUGUUCAAAGCUUGAAAACAGGUACCAAAUUCUUCAUUUUCUCACUAAAAUGAGCUCCAAUUUAAUUUAGUAUAGGAUUUAUGUUCCUAAAUAGAUAUGAUCUGUUUCUUAAUUAGUAGAGUAUAUAUUCCUAAAUAGGUAAGUUUUAUAUUUCUAAUUAAGUGGAGUAGUUAUAAGAGAUUAUCAUAUAUAAAUAUGUAAACUUUUAUUUUAUUGAGUAAUGAGAAAAAAGAUGUAGCCUUUUGGGUGAUUUCCUUCUCUUCUCUUCUUUCCUUUUUUUCUUUCAUAGUGUUUGGAAUGAAUGAAUUCCACAAAAUUUUUGAAAUUCAUUUCUAAAUCCAAAAAUUUUAUGUAUGAAAGCAAAAAAAAAAAAAAGAAAAUAUAGAUUUCAAUUCUAUGAUUUGAUUUUUUGCAGAAUUGAACAUAAUUAUCCCAAAUUUCAUCAAAAUAGGCGGAAUUUCCAAAUGAAUUCCAUAAAAUUUACCACAAAAAUUAUUAUGACAAAACUAUCCACACUUAAACCUAUUUUUUUACCCCAAUCUUCAUAUCAUCGUUACUCUUCUCUCUCUCUCUCUCUCUCUCUCUCUCUCUCUCUCUCUCUCUCUCUCUCUCUCAUUAUUGAGAUUUGCUAAAUAAUUAAGUUUCAAAUAGUCUCAUGACUUUAUAUAUAAAACUGAAUUACUGAAUUUUAACUGAAAAAUUAUUAUAUAGUUAAAUGACGAGAUUAAAAUAAGAUAUUUAAAAUAUUAAAAUAGAAUCUUGAUUUUGUCUUUCCCUGGUUCUAAAUUCCAUUGAAUUUUUAAUGUAUUUGAAUAUUCUAUUUGUUGUUAGAAUGCCAUAAAGACCAAGGUUAUUGUUAUUUGAAGUUGUGUUACAUAUAAAUUUUACUUGUAGGAUUCUAAACUUUUUAGCGAUGUGUAACGGGCAGAUUUGAUAGCAGCUUCAAGACUGGAUAUACGGUUCAUAUAAAAAUUUUGGCCACUUCUUCCUCGUUGCAAAUAUGAGUUUCGUACGCGUGUUUUGAAGAGGUCCCAAGGCAUGGGAACAAAGUUGAAGACUUCGAACGGCCAAAGAAUUGAGAAAUGUUGCUGAUACAAUUUACACGAGUCAUGUAAUCAAAGCCAUAGAUCCAUGUAACUUACUGCUAGGAGAAAGACAAAGAACCAAAGAAGAAUCGAAGUACACGGGCCAUGUUCUGUGCCCCAUGUAAAAUAUGAAUACUUGUGUAAGUCUCUGCUGGGCCAAGCUUGAAGAUUUCCUUGAAAUACAAAAGUACACGGACUGUGUUAUCAGGCUCGUGUAACUACCUAAAGACCGUGUAAACUCCUGUACUGAUGCAAGAUGCAACCAAUCAAGCUCCAGUAAGUUACACGACCCUAGGCUAUGUAGUGAUGCACGUGCCGUGUAUCGUGCGGUAGCCGGUUUCCCAACUUGAUUCUAGCUUCAGUUUCUACAGAGAAAAGAGACUCCUUAUGCCUUAAGGACUUUAAAAACCUAACCUUAGCCCAAUCAUUAUAAAUAGAGGCAGCAGAUAACAAGAGGGAGAGCUUUUUUGACCUUCACUAUUUUCACACAACCGUUUAGAAGAAUAGUGCAUUGGCAUCAAGGAGAAACCCUCAGCUGAAGUUCCACAAGAUCAAAGCUGCAGAUUCUCUUCGGUUCUUUUGUUUUAUUUCUUUAAGCAGACUUUUUAUGUUCUUUCAUUUUAUUUUCAUUAUGUUUGCUAAACUCACCAUGAGUGAGUAAUUCCUUUAUUCUGGGAUUAGGAGAGUAGCACUUGUAAUCGUUAUUAUGGAUCAAUAUUAAGUCUCUAUUUAUUGGAUCUGAGUUUUUCCCUUUGAUUUAA